UGGGCCCAACUUUAAAAAUGCAGAACGAAAAGUUGGCCUCACCUUCAUCCUUCGAUCCAGAGUUUCGUUUCCAAACCGACUCUCGACAUCGACGAAACUGCAAAUUUGAGGAAUGGAUGUGAAUAACUUUAAAACUCAGCUGAAAAAGCACAGUGAUAACAUAAGUGCUCUGGAACGCAAUAUGCAAUACAGCGGGUCCAUAAAUAUGCUCAUGAAAAACCUUUCCGUCAAGAUUGAAUCGAGUCAUGCUCAACAUUCUGAAGCCAUAGGAGCCUUGGGGCAAGAGGAUGAGAAACUAUUGUCAGAUGUUAAAUCAAUGAAAACAGAGAGAGAAAUGAUACGUGGGGAGAUGAAGGAAAUAAACAAAACUUUAGAAAAGCUGAAAACUGAUAAGAUGGAGGGAGAAAGGUUGUUGGGGGAAGCUUAUGACCGUAUCUCAAUGCUGGAUGCUGAAAUGGAGACAUCAAAAAAGAGUACUACAGAUACGAUUGCAGGUUUAUUUUCAAAGCAUGCUAAACUGAUUGUUAAGUUGAAGUAGGCAUGGAUUAUGAUAAAUUUAAAACCCAGUAGAAAGAGCACAAUAAUCAUAUAAAUGCUCUUGAAGACAACUUGCGAUACGAUCGUCGGGUCAUGAAUAUCCUCUUGAAAGACAUUAAAGAGGAGAUUGAAAUGUUUCAUUGUAAGCGUUCCACAGACUUAGAAGCGUUGAUGCAAGAAAAUGAGGAAUUGUUGUUGUCAGAAGUUGAACCAGGGAAGACGAAGAAACAAAUGUGUGAAAACAUUAAACAUGGAUAAUGAAAAUAUGAGUAGAGAUUUAUCUGAAAAGGUUGAAAACUUGGAGCAGGUAUGUGUUGUUUGUAAUUAGUUUCGAGUUCUGACCUUUAUAUUUGAUUUUCAAAUUUAUAGCUGCAAUACAUGCUGAUUGAUUGGUGCUUGAAUGCGUAUUUGAACGUAACCAACAUGUAGGAAGAAAAGUUAAGAUUUGGAUGUACAAACUGAUCUAACUAAAAUGCACUAGAAUGGUGAUAUAUGUUAUGCAAAGUUAUGUAUCGUGUUUUCAAUAUGUAAAUAUGUAAAGCAGGUCCAUCCAUCAUCUGUGUUGGGAUAGAUUGAACUGGCGUUAGGAACAUGAAAACGUUACAUAAUGAAACUUGUUUAUAUGCAAAUUAUAUUAUUAGUAUUGAUGUUUUUAUUGGUAUAGCAGAGUAGCAAGAGAUGCAGAAAAAAAAUAUUAUUAACUUAGGCACAACUCUUGAGGAUAAUUUAGUUAGGCUUGAAAAUUAGGAUGGGAUACAUAUGUCUCUGAAUAACAUAUGGAUUUACAUACUUUAGUCCUACUGAUCAAGGAAGUAAAUGUCUCUCAAUAAGCUUUAUACCGGUUACUAACUAACAGCAUACAGAUUCUGUCAUCCCUAUCUUGGUUACAAUUCUGUCAAAUGUGAAACUGUUCAACCCUUCUUGAGAUUUGUGCAAGCUGUUCUUGGGUGGGUACAUGUAGAGUAAUUGAUAAGCCUCUAUCAAGUUUUUCCUAACUAAAAUGCCUAUUUACUUCAACGUUCUUGGUCUAUCAUGCUUGACAGUGUUAUGAGCUAUGUUGAUUACUGAUUUAUUGUUACAGUGGAUUUUCUCAGGUCCUUUCUAAGUGGAAGAAUACCUAAUAAAACAGAUUUUGGGGCUCUAAUAUCAAGUUUCCCUUGUCUUGGUUAUGUUAGAAGAAAUGAAACACACUCAAAGAUUGAUUAUGCAAAUGAACAAAUUCAAGCAACAUGGAUUCCCGAUGUUUUUCACUUCUUUAGAGCUCAAAAAGUUAGAAUGAAACAACUAAACAACUAAACCUUUCAAACUUGUUUUUGGAUCUUUCAAUAUAUUCAUUUUUUGUUCUGUGAUGGACUAUUUUCAGAUAUAUAAAUCAUGGAAUUUGGUCAUGUGGGUUUCAUGAAAACACUAUGCUCAUUUUGGUGACAUAUAUUUAAAAUGUGGAAUGCAGCUGAGUUUUGUUAUUAUAUAGUUUUCAAUUUUAAGUGUAGCAGAGGAGGGCUGAGGCUGCAUGGAUAUGGAGUGGUCAAGUCAUGACCUUUUGUUUCAUAGUUAAUAAUGCAGUUUUCAAUUUUAAGUGUAGCAGAGGAGGGCUGAGGCUGCAUGGAUAUGGAGUGGUCAAGUCAUAACCUUCUGUAGUCUUUGACAGACAUGUUAGACAAGUAUUCUUUGAUUUUGUAGGGUUUUUUUUGAAUAUGAUACAAUACGGGUUAACCAGAAAAUAAGCCCUCAAGAGUGCAUAACAAACCUUCAGUGGC